GAAAGACUGAGAAGAAAACGAACAACGCAAAAUAACAAUUCCACGGGUACAAAUAAAUUCCACAAUCUCGGAUUGGAUUUUUCCCUCUCACAAUGGGCCCUAUCCUCGCAUUCGCGAAAAUAUUUUCUCUCUCGCAAUGUACACAACUGCACACUGGUAUUGCACGAGACCUACCCUUCUCCCAUUCAAAGAGGGGUAGUACCCAUCAAACAGAAGCAUUAGGCUUGAUCCGAGUGCGAUGUUCAUCCGAGCGGAUGACAACAUACUCUGGGAGCAGGCUUAAAGCUCUUUUCGUUUUCAUCUAUGUACCUUCGACCUUUCUCGCCCUACUCCCCCAUUCCUCUUCAUAUUUCCCUUUAAUUCCCACACUCGUGCAUCCUCGUACCGUUUGAUGGAGCAAGUGACUCUGGUGGCAUGUGUUCCUCAUGAAAGUUCACAUCUUCCGGUGUUUCCAUUCCCUCACGGUGUUUUGUUAUGUCAAAGGCAACACGCGAGUUUGAAAAUAUUAUUAUACGAUACGUCCCCCUAGAAAGAAUAAAGCAUUGACGUCAAUGCUUUUAAUCGCCAGCGGUGAUUAAUUAAACCGGGAAUAUCAGCUUUUCUUAUCACGUCCAGUCAAAUUGUGCUAACAUUAUUGCAACAAGACAAAGAGUUCAGGAGAGGAAGUGCAACUAUAAAGACACUCGUCCCGUUGCUCAUCACAACCAAGACAUCUCAGAACAAUUUUCUUCACGUCAUGAAGUUCCUCACUAUUUUGGUUGUAAUUGCGAUGGCUAUGGCAGCUGUCAGCGGUCAGUGCAGAGGACGGCGACAACCGGUUAGUCACUUAUAUCACCGAAAAUGUAUAAUGCGGUGCAUUGUCAAUUAACUUUUGCAUCGCAACCAAAAUACAAAUGGAUCCUAUUACUGAAGAUUCUGAUGAAUUUGUGAUAGACCCAUAUAACGUACAGGAAAUUUACAAUAACGAAUUACCGAUGUCUGAUUGAAUUUGAUCUUUUCAGUGUCAAACCGAUAACGACUGCUGCAACUUCGCUUGUCGUGGGCGUAGUAAAAUUUGCGCAUAAUUUUCGGAGUGGAUUAAUUCCUGUCAGUCUUCAAUGAAAAUCGGCUUCUGCGGCAACUCAAUUUAUUCGCAAUACCCAAUAAAAAUAUUUUCAAAACAUGAGAAAGUCUCUGACUCUUCUGUACCGAUUCCCAAUAAAUUCAAAUGAAAAUUA